UAUGUAGGGUGCGAGCGUUGUCCGGAAUUACUGGGCGUAAAGCGCACGCAGGCUGACUUAUAAGUCGGUAGUCUAAUGCGGAGGCUCAACUUCCGUUUAUCUAUCGAUACUGUAAGACUAGAGUAUGUGAGAGGGAAGUGGAAUUCCCGGUGUAGCGGUGAAAUGCGUAGAUAUAUGGAGGAACACCAGUGGCGAAGGCGACUCUCUGGUCUGUAACUGACGCUGAGGCUCGAAAGCGUGGGGAGCAAACAGGAUUAGA
rnacentral:rRNA from 1 species